CGAGAAGUCGCACGGUGCCCCAAGCAAUCGGGAAAAGAUUUGUUAGUGUCCAUUUUAUCAGACGUUGGUAGUCUGUUAAGUAAAUCCGGCGGCGGUCCGAGUGUUAGCUUUCCCCGGAAGUCGGGCGGACGAAUAAGAAUCGGCACAGUCAGCAGCCAAAAAUCGAUUAAAAAUCCCAUAGUUCCGGCUCAAAGAGAACAUCGGAAAACGAAUUCCCUGCCCGUUGAGCGCGAAGGCCCACACACCAUCGUACGAACUUAGGAAGGACAGGCCGCCAGGAAAACUGCUGUUUUAUCACUGGGAAAGAGUCCAGUUCCCUCCUGACAAGCGAACUAUCAAGAAAAGGCCCCAAAGGGGCCUUUGUUACCAUCCGGAUCACUCCGAACAACGCGUGAAACCCAUCGCCGGGCAGAGAAGGCGGAAAGCCGGCGAGUGAACGACAGCCCAGGACUAACAGAGAGCGCAAACGUCCCGCAAGAGCCAGACAGAGGCGGCCCGGGAGCACCACCGACUGAACGCGAUCGAGGUUCGGCAAGGAUUCGUCACCCGUGCAACGGGUGAAUAAAGCAUCAUCGACGACGAGCGCCGCAAAACUCCCUCGGAGGGUCCCCAUCCAGUAAUCCGGUCGCACUGGACGGCCAGAGGGGUCCCCACCAGAGGGAUUGGCGUGUGGAGCGAACGAGUGUAUACUGUAGGCAAGGAUGUUGUCGAGAUGUGUGCGUGGAGCGGCGGCAGGUGACCGACCGCAGAAAGUGUUGUCGCUGUAGGGGGACGCCCCGACGGUACCGUGAGUACGAAAUAUGUUAGCAUGUAAGAAGAGAUGAAUAGAGAAAGAGUAGAGGAGUAAGGCCAAGAAGUAGGAGGCUAGGAAAAGAAGAUGAUCAGGGCCGCUGCC